rnacentral:rRNA from 1 species
AACGCUGGCGGCAGGCCUAACACAUGCAAGUCGAACGGUAACAGGAAGAAGCUUGCUUCUUUGCUGACGAGUGGCGGACGGGCGAGUAAUGUCUGGGAAACUGUCUGAUGGAGGGGGAUAACUACUGGAAACGGUAGCUAAUACCGCAUAACGUCGCAAGACCAAAGAGGGGGACCUUCGGGCCUCUUGCCAUCGGAUGUGCCCAGAUGGGAUUAGCUUGUUGGUGGGGUAACGGCUCACCAAGGCGACGAUCCCCAGCUGGUCUGAGAGGAUGACCAGCCACACUGGAACUGAGACACGGUCCAGACUCCUACGGGAGGCAGCAGUGGGGAAUAUUGCACAAUGGGCGCAAGCCUGAUGCAGCCAUGCCGCGUGUAUGAAGAAGGCCUUCGGGUUGUAAAGUACUUUCAGCGGGGAGGAAGGGAGUAAAGUUAAUACCUUUGCUCAUUGACGUUACCCGCAGAAGAAGCACCGGCUAACUCCGUGCCAGCAGCCGCGGUAAUACGGAGGGUGCAAGCGUUAAUCGGAAUUACUGGGCGUAAAGCGCACGCAGGCGGUUUGUUAAGUCAGAUGUGAAAUCCCCGGGCUCAACCUGGGAACUGCAUCUGAUACUGGCAAGCUUGAGUCUCGUAGAGGGGGGUAGAAUUCCAGGUGUAGCGGUGAAAUGCGUAGAGAUCUGGAGGAAUACCGGUGGCGAAGGCGGCCCCCUGGACGAAGACUGACGCUCAGGUGCGAAAGCGUGGGGAGCAAACAGGAUUAAAUACCCUGGUAGUCCACGCCGUAAACGAUGUCGACUUGGAGGUUGUGCCCUUGAGGCGUGGCUUCCGGAGCUAACGCGUUAAGUCGACCGCCUGGGGAGUACGGCCGCAAGGUUAAAACUCAAAUGAAUUGACGGGGGCCCGCACAAGCGGUGGAGCAUGUGGUUUAAUUCGAUGCAACGCGAAGAACCUUACCUGGUCUUGACAUCCACAGAACUUUCCAGAGAUGGAUUGGUGCCUUCGGGAACUGUGAGACAGGUGCUGCAUGGCUGUCGUCAGCUCGUGUUGUGAAAUGUUGGGUUAAGUCCCGCAACGAGCGCAACCCUUAUCCUUUGUUGCCAGCGGUCCGGCCGGGAACUCAAAGGAGACUGCCAGUGAUAAACUGGAGGAAGGUGGGGAUGACGUCAAGUCAUCAUGGCCCUUACGACCAGGGCUACACACGUGCUACAAUGGCGCAUACAAAGAGAAGCGACCUCGCGAGAGCAAGCGGACCUCAUAAAGUGCGUCGUAGUCCGGAUUGGAGUCUGCAACUCGACUCCAUGAAGUCGGAAUCGCUAGUAAUCGUGGAUCAGAAUGCCACGGUGAAUACGUUCCCGGGCCUUGUACACACCGCCCGUCACACCAUGGGAGUGGGUUGCAAAAGAAGUAGGUAGCUUAACCUUCGGGAGGGCGCUUACCACUUUGUGAUUCAUGACUGGGGUG